UGGGGAAUAUUGCACAAUGGGCGAAAGCCUGAUGCAGCAACGCCGCGUGAGUGAUGAAGGCCUUCGGGUUGUAAAGCUCUGUCUUUUGGGACGAUAAUGACGGUACCAAAGGAGGAAGCCACGGCUAACUACGUGCCAGCAGCCGCGGUAAUACGCAGGUGGCAAGCGUUGUCCGGAUUUACUGGGCGUAAAGGAUGCGUAGGCGGAUUUUUAAGUGAGAUGUGAAAUACCCGGGCUUAACUUGGGUGCUGCAUUUCAAACUGGGAAUCUAGAGUGCGGGAGAGGAGAAUGGAAUUCCUAGUGUAGCGGUGAAAUGCGUAGAGAUUAGGAAGAACACCAGUGGCGAAGGCGAUUCUCUGGACCGUAACUGACGCUGAGGCAUGAAAGCGUGGGUAGCAAACAAGAUUAGAUACCCUGGUAGUCCACGCCGUAAACGAUGAGUACUAGGUGUAGGAGGUAUCGACCCCUUCUGUGCCGCAGUUAACACAAUCAAGUACUCCGCCUGGGAAGUACGAUCGCAAGAUUAAAACU
rnacentral:rRNA from 1 species